UACGUAGGGGGCAAGCGUUGUCCGGAUUUAUUGGGCGUAAAGAGCGUGUAGGCGGCCAGGUAGGUCCGUUGUGAAAACUCGAGGCUCAACCUCGAGACGCCGAUGGAAACCAUCUGGCUAGAGUCCGGAAGAGGAGAGUGGAAUUCCCGGUGUAGCGGUGAAAUGCGCAGAUAUCGGGAAGAACGCCCGUGGCUAAGGCGGCUCUCUAGUACGGUACUGACGCUGAGACGCGAAAGCGUGGGGAGCGAACAGG
rnacentral:rRNA from 1 species